AUACGGAGGGUGCAAGCGUUAAUCGGAAUUACUGGGCGUAAAGCGCGCGUAGGCGGUUUGGUCAGUCGGAUGUGAAAGCCCUGGGCUCAACCUGGGAACUGCAUUCGAUACUGUCAGACUAGAAUAUGGUAGAGGGUAGUGGAAUUCCUGGUGUAGCGGUGAAAUGCGUAGAUAUCAGGAGGAACAUCAGUGGCGAAGGCGGCUACCUGGACCAAUAUUGACGCUGAGGUGCGAAAGCGUGGGGAGCAAACAGGAUUAGAUACCCUAGUAGUCC
rnacentral:rRNA from 1 species